rnacentral:rRNA from 1 species
GAUGAACGCUGACAGAAUGCUUAACACAUUCAAGUCAACUGUGGCGGACGGGUGAGUAACGCGUAAAGAACUUGCCUCACGAAUAGGGACAACAUUUGGAAACCAAUGCUAAUACCUGAUACUGUGAGAGAGCGUUGCGUCACAUUAGCUAGUUGGAGAGGUAACGGCUCACCAAGGCUAUGAUGUUUAGCCGGCCUGAGAGUGUGAUCGGCCACAAGGGGACUUAGACACGGCCCUUACUCACUCUUGAGGCAGCAAUGGGGAAUAUUGGACAAAGGACCAAAGUCUGAUCCAGCAAUUCUGUGUGCACGAUUAAGUUUUCGAAAUGUAAAGUGCUGUCAGUUAGGAAGCGGUAUCAACACAAGAAGUGACGGCUAAAUACGUGCCAGCAGCCGCGGUAAUAC